rnacentral:rRNA from 1 species
UCAGGAUGAACGCUGGCGGCGUGCUUAACACAUGCAAGUCGAACGGUGAAGCCAAGCUUGCUUGGUGGAUCAGUGGCGAACGGGUGAGUAACACGUGAGCAACCUGCCCUGGACUCUGGGAUAAGCGCUGGAAACGGUGUCUAAUACUGGAUAUGAGCUCUCACUGCAUGGUGGGGGUUGGAAAGAUUUUUCGGUCUGGGAUGGGCUCGCGGCCUAUCAGCUUGUUGGUGAGGUAAUGGCUCACCAAGGCGUCGACGGGUAGCCGGCCUGAGAGGGUGACCGGCCACACUGGGACUGAGACACGGCCCAGACUCCUACGGGAGGCAGCAGUGGGGAAUAUUGCACAAUGGGCGGAAGCCUGAUGCAGCAACGCCGCGUGAGGGAUGACGGCCUUCGGGUUGUAAACCUCUUUUAGCAAGGAAGAAGCGAAAGUGACGGUACUGCA